rnacentral:tRNA from 1 species
UCCCUGGUGGCUCAGAUGGUAAAGCUGCCUGCAAUGCGGGAGACCCGGGUUCGAUUCCUGGCUUGGGAA